rnacentral:rRNA from 1 species
UACGUAGGGUGCGAGCGUUGUCCGGAAUUACUGGGCGUAAAGAGCUCGUAGGCGGCCGGUUGCGUCUGCUGUGAAAUCCCGGGGCUUAACCCCGGGCGUGCAGUGGAUACGGGCUGGCUGGAGGCAGGCAGGGGAGAAUGGAAUUCCCGGUGUAGCGGUGAAAUGCGCAGAUAUCAGGAGGAACACCGGUGGCGAAGGCGGGUCUCUGGGCCGAUACUGACGCUGGAGGAGCGAAAGGCGUGGGGGAGCAAACAGG